AAAACUGGGAAGCAGAUGGAGGAAACAGCAACGGACCGCACCCUGGAACCACGGGAGACUUGAUACUCAGCGCCGCCAAGAAGGGACAAGUCCCGAACGCCCAAGCCCGAGUUCCUGAUUCGACCGUCGGUCUUGCCUCAACCCAAAUACAUCGCAACAGACUUGGAGAAAAGACAAAGGUCCCGGAGGGAUAAAAAGCUGGGUCUUUAAAGGAUUUAAUCCCGUUCUACUUUGCUACUAUUCUAAAGAGGAUUUUUCCGCAUAAGGAUAAAGAGUCUGACCAAGGCUCCUGGAUGUUCCUGCUGCUAAAGAUCCAUCAGCAACUGGGUGUGAGUUGAAUUUCCCCCCAAAAUCUAUCUCAGAACUUGUGACAUAAGUUAGGGAAAGGAGACGGCAUGGUAUGGUUAUACAUGUAGAUCUUAUUAUACUGUUCUCAAAUUUAUAUACAAUUGAUUAUUGAUUUGUAUGUCACAUAUCCCUGCUUAAGCUUGCUU